UGAGUGAUUGCAUCGAGUUUGUGCGCCGAAUUUAUGCACUGAUCUUAAGCAUUGAGUUUAUGCACCGAGAUUAAGCACUGAUUGUAUGUCUCGACUUUAUUUGUAUCAAUUUUAUACAUCUGUUUGGCUUCUACCAUUUCGUUUCUACAAUCUCCAUACACUCCUUUACACUUACUUCUUUAAUUUGUCGCAUACCUCUUACACAUAGAAUUACAAUUCAUUUGUAAUGGCUCAUUGCCUCUGCCCAUUUAUCGUUCGUUUACUUCUAAAUCCGUUUUCACCCCAUUCCAUCUUAUUAUCUAAACUUUGCGUAGCGUUAUAUCCUCUGUCGUAACCAACUUUUAUUUUUACAUUUCAUAUGUUGCAACUAAGGCAAAUUAAAUCAAUAUACGCUCUUCUCACCGUCUUCCUCAACCACCCCCACUGAGAUCUAAAGUGGGGUGCAUUUCCAUACUCAUUUAGAAUCAUUCUCAUAGAAUCACGCUCAUAUGUCUAAAUAUACUUUUACCUGAAAUCAGCACCAUACCGAUUGCCCCCCACUAAGUACAAAUUGAUCCCACUUCUACAGGAUUCUACUUUUUUAAUUUAUACCAUACCUGAAAAAGGUCGUAAAUAAAAAAUAUAAAUAAUAAAAAAAUAAUUCUCUUUCAUCUACUUUAACGCAUACCCUUCCGAUGUUUUAAUAAAUAAAAUAAUAGUUGAAAAAUGUUUACAUUGUUUAAAUAAUUAUUCAUUUGCUCUCGAGUUUAUCUACUUUAGGCUGUUUGUAUUGUUUUGCAUUCAAGCUUCAUCAAUCACCUUUGCUGUUUUCAUUCAAUCAAAAGUUUUAAACAACUCAUUCUGUAUGCCCAAAAAAAAAAGUAAAACAAAAGAAAAGAAAAAAACAUUCUAAUUGUUUAUUUUAUUGUAUUUCCUAUUCACUGACUCUUUUUUUUUUCAUUCAUUCAUUCAUCUAUUUCCCAUUUAAUACAAUCCAUUCAAACUUGCGCUAUCAUUGCACUAAAGCAGCAUAUCAUACUAUUGUUAAAUGCGUUGCGAAAUCGGCGAUACCUCUCUUCCUCGCUACGCUACGUUUGAUUUCGGCGAUCGGUCAUUUUUGAGCCGUUGAUUGGCUACUUUUAUUUUUGCUUUGCGACAAUAUGGUCUGUUUUUGCUCAGCCCUCCCUCAACUAACUUCCUUCAUAGUUCAA